rnacentral:rRNA from 1 species
UACGGAGGGGGCUAGCGUUGUUCGGAAUUACUGGGCGUAAAGCGCACGUAGGCGGCUUUGUAAGUUAGAGGUGAAAGCCCGGGGCUCAACUCCGGAAUUGCCUUUAAGACUGCAUCGCUAGAAUUGUGGAGAGGUAAGUGGAAUUCCGAGUGUAGAGGUGAAAUUCGUAGAUAUUCGGAAGAACACCAGUGGCGAAGGCGGCUCACUGGCCCGUUACUGACGCUGAGGCACGAAAGCGUGGGAGCAAACAGG